GACGAACGCUGGCGGCGUGCUUAACACAUGCAAGUCGAACGGAAAGGCCCUGCUUUUGUGGGGUGCUCGAGUGGCGAACGGGUGAGUAACACGUGAGUAACCUGCCCUUGACUUUGGGAUAACUUCAGGAAACUGGGGCUAAUACCGGAUAGGAGCUCCUGCUGCAUGGUGGGGGUUGGAAAGUUUCGGCGGUUGGGGAUGGACUCGCGGCUUAUCAGCUUGUUGGUGGGGUAGUGGCUUACCAAGGCUUUGACGGGUAGCCGGCCUGAGAGGGUGACCGGCCACAUUGGGACUGAGAUACGGCCCAGAAGCGUACGGGAGGCAGCAGGGGGGAAUAUUGCACAGUGGGCGGAAGCCUGAUGCAGCAACGCCGCGUGCGGGAUGACGGCUUUCGGGUUGUAAACCGCUUUCGCCUGUGACGAAGCGUGAGUGACGGUAAUGGGUAAAGAAGCACCGGCUAACUACGUG
rnacentral:rRNA from 1 species